AUGAAAAACAAAAGACUUCUCAAUUGCGAGACGACGGUGGUUUGCAACUGGGACAACAACAAACUAUGGGCCCGUUUGCGAGUCGAGGGUGGACUUGCAACUGGGACAAAAAAGGUCGGAGCCCAGUUGCGAGUCAAGGUUGGACUUGCAACUGGGACAAAAAAAUGUUGCACCCUAGUUGCGAGUCGGGGGUGGACUUGCAACUACGACAAAACAAGUGUUGGACCCCUGUUGCAAGUCAGAGGGUGGACUUGCAACUCACACAAAAAAAGACCGGGACCUAGUUGCGAGUCAAGGCUGGACUUGCAACUAGGAUAA
rnacentral:rRNA from 1 species